rnacentral:rRNA from 1 species
GACGAACGCUGGCGGCGUGCUUGACACAUGCAAGUCGAACGGAAAGGCCCUGCUUUUGUGGGGUGCUCGAGUGGCGAACGGGUGAGUAACACGUGAGUAACCUGCCCUUGACUUUGGGAUAACUUCAGGAAACUGGGGCUAAUACCGGAUAGGAGCUCCUGCUGCAUGGUGGGGGUUGGAAAGUUUCGGCGGUUGGGGAUGGACUCGCGGCUUAUCAGCUUGUUGGUGGGGUAGUGGCUUACCAAGGCUUUGACGGGUAGCCGGCCUGAGAGGGUGACCGGCCACAUUGGGACUGAGAUACGGCCCAGACUCCUACGGGAGGCAGCAGUGGGGAAUAUUGCACAAUGGGCGGAAGCCUGAUGCAGCAACGCCGCGUGCGGGAUGACGGCCUUCGGGUUGUAAACCGCUUUCGCCUGUGACGAAGCGUGAGUGACGGUAAUGGGUAAAGAAGCACCGGCUAACUACGUGCCAGCAGCCGCGGUGAUACGUAGGGUGCGAGCGUUGUCCGGAUUUAUUGGGCGUAAAGGGCUCGUAGGUGGUUGAUCGCGUCGGAAGUGUAAUCUUGGGGCUUAACCCUGAGCGUGCUUUCGAUACGGGUUGACUUGAGGAAGGUAGGGGAGAAUGGAAUUCCUGGUGGAGCGGUGGAAUGCGCAGAUAUCAGGAGGAACACCAGUGGCGAAGGCGGUUCUCUGGGCCUUUCCUGACGCUGAGGAGCGAAAGCGUGGGGAGCGAACAGGCUUAGAUACCCUGGUAGUCCACGCUGUAAACGGUGGGUACUAGGUGUGGGGUCCAUUCCACGGGUUCCGUGCCGUAGCUAACGCUUUAAGUACCCCGCCUGGGGAGUACGGCCGCAAGGCUAAAACUCAAAGGAAUUGACGGGGCCCCGCACAAGCGGCGGAGCAUGCGGAUUAAUUCGAUGCAACGCGUAGAACCUUACCUGGGUUUGACAUGGGUCGGGAGUGCUCAGAGAUGGGUGUGCCUCUUUUGGGGUCGGUUCACAGGUGGUGCAUGGCUGUCGUCAGCUCGUGUCGUGAGAUGUUGGGUUAAGUCCCGCAACGAGCGCAACCCUUGUUCACUGUUGCCAGCACGUUAUGGUGGGGACUCAGUGGAGACCGCCGGGGUCAACUCGGAGGAAGGUGGGGAUGACGUCAAGUCAUCAUGCCCCUUAUGUCCAGGGCUUCACGCAUGCUACAAUGGCUGGUACAGAGAGUGGCGAGCCUGUGAGGGUGAGCGAAUCUCGGAAAGCCGGUCUCAGUUCGGAUUGGGGUCUGCAACUCGACCUCAUGAAGUCGGAGUCGCUAGUAAUCGCAGAUCAGCAACGCUGCGGUGAAUACGUUCCCGGG